AAAGUGAAUAGUGAAAUCUGGAGGCUCAACCUCACAGACUAUUAUUCAAACUCACUAACUCGAGAAUGGUAGAGGUAACUGGAAUUUCUUGUGUAGGAGUGAAAUCCGUAGAUAUAAGAAGGAACACCAAUGGUGUAGGCAGGUUACUGGACCAUUUCUGACGCUAAGGCACGAAAGCGUGGGGAGCGAACCGGAUUAGAUACCCGGGUAGUCCACGCCGUAAACGAUGGGUGCUA
rnacentral:rRNA from 1 species